GAAUCUUCCACAAUGGACAAAAGUCUGAUGGAGCAAUGCCGCGUGGGUGAAGAAGGUUUUCGGAUCGUAAAACUCUGUUGUGAGGGAAGAACAAGUACGUGAGUAACUGCUCGUACCUUGACGGUACCUCAUUAGAAAGCCACGGCUAACUACGUGCCCGCCGCCGCGGUAAUACGUAGGUGGCAAGCGUUGUCCGGAAUUAGUGGGCGUAAAGCGCGCGCAGGCGGUCCUUUAAGUCUGAUGUGAAAGCCCACGGCUCAACCGUGGAGGGUCAUUGGAAACUGGGGGACUUGAGUACAGAAGAGGAAAGCGGAAUUCCACGUGUAGCGGUGAAAUGCGUAGAGAUGUGGAGGAACACCAGUGGCGAAGGCGGCUUUCUGGUCUGUAACUGACGCUGAGGCGCGAAAGCGUGGGGAGCAAAC
rnacentral:rRNA from 1 species